AGGGAAACUUGGGCUAAUACCGCAUGAGUGCAGCGCAUAAAGCAUCUUUAGGUGGGUGUUUUAUGCGUUAGCAUAAAAGGUGGCCUUCGGGCUGUCGUUUGAGGAUGAGUCUGCGUCCUAAUUAGUUAGUUGGUGAGGUAAUGGCUCACCAAGGCGAUGAUAGGUAGGCGGCCUUAACGGGUGGCCGCCCACACUGGGAUUGAGAUACGGCCCAGACUCCUACGGGAGGCAGCAGUCGAGAAUAGUCUACAAUGGACGAAAGUCUGAUAGUGCGACGCCGCGCGAACGAAGAAUCCCUUCGGGGUGUAAAGUUUCCUUUUAUAUGUGAGCAAUGCUUUUUAUGUGAAUAGCAUGAGAAGAGAGAUAUUAGCAUAUGAAUAAGCAACGGCUAACUCCGUGCCAGCCGCCGC
rnacentral:rRNA from 1 species